UCCAGAAGCUGAGGUGCAAGGAUCCC
rnacentral:piRNA from 1 species